rnacentral:rRNA from 1 species
UACAGAGGGGGCAAGCGUUGUUCGGAAUUACUGGGCGUAUAGGGCGCGUAGGCGGCCUUCUAAGUCGAACGUGAAAUCCCCGGGCUCAACCCGGGAACUGCGUCCGAUACUGGAAGGCUUGAAUCCGGGAGAGGGAUGUGGAAUUCCAGGUGUAGCGGUGAAAUGCGUAGAUAUCUGGAGGAACACCGGUGGCGAAGGCGACAUCCUGGACCGGUAUUGACGCUGAGGCGCGAAAGCUAGGGUAGCAAACGGG